GACGAACGCUGGCGGCGUGCUUAACACAUGCAAGUCGAGCGGUAAGGCCCUUUCGGGGGUACACGAGCGGCGAACGGGUGAGUAACACGUGGGUGACCUGCCCUCAGCUCUGGGAUAAGCCUGGGAAACCGGGUCUAAUACUGGAUAUGACUCCAUGACGCAUGUUGUGGGGUGGAAAGCCUUGUGCGGCUGAGGAUGGGCCCGCGGCCUAUCAGCUUGUUGGUGGGGUGANGGCCUACCAAGGCGACGACGGGUAGCCGGCCUGAGAGGGCGACCGGCCACACUGGGACUGAGACACGGCCCAGACUCCUACGGGAGGCAGCAGUGGGGAAUCUUGCGCAAUGGGCGAAAGCCUGACGCAGCGACGCC
rnacentral:rRNA from 1 species